GAUGAACGCUCGCGGCAGGCCUAAUACAUGCAAGUCGAACGGGAUCCAGAUCAAAGCUUGCUUUGGUCUGGUGAGAGUGGCGCACGGGUGCGUAACGCGUGAGCAACCUACCCUUGUCAGGGGGAUAGCCCGGCGAAAGUCGGAUUAAUACCGCAUGACAUCAUUGAGAGGCAUCUUUCGAUGAUCAAAGAUUUAUCGGACAAGGAUGGGCUCGCGUGACAUUAGCUAGUUGGUAAGGUAACGGCUUACCAAGGCUGCGAUGUCUAGGGGCUCUGAGAGGAGAAUCCCCCACACUGGUACUGAGACACGGACCAGACUCCUACGGGAGGCAGCAGUAAGGAAUAGUGGUCAAGGGACGGAAGUCUGAACCAGCCAUGCCGCGUGCAGGAAGACGGCCCUAUGGGUUGUAAACUGCUUUUAUACGGGAACAAACGUCGGUACGUGUACCGGUCUGAGUGUACCGUAAGAAUAAGGAUCGGCUAACUCCGUG
rnacentral:rRNA from 1 species